rnacentral:rRNA from 1 species
AACGACUCUCGGCAACGGAUAUCUCGGCUCUCGCAUCGAUGAAGAACGUAGCGAAAUGCGAUACUUGGUGUGAAUUGCAGAAUCCCGUGAACCAUCGAGUCUUUGAACGCAAGUUGCGCCCGAAGCCACUAGGCCGAGGGCACGCCUGCCUGGGCGUCACACGCC